rnacentral:lncRNA from 1 species
UUUUCAGUCCACCGGGAUACCCUUUUUUGCCCAAGCCGCCCUUGUGGGGUUUUCGACUUGUCGGGUGUACAAUUUUUUCUUUUUAUCCCUAAUUUUUGCCCGAACCUUUUUAUUCUUUAUUUUUUUGGUUCGCCGGGAUGCCCCUUUUUGCCUGGACUCUUUUAUUCUUUUCGUCCAGCGGGUCUCUUUUACGAAGUAUUUUUUAACUGCGUCCGCAUUCACAGGGGAUGGAAAAU